GAUGAACGCUGGCGGCGUGCCUAAUACAUGCAAGUCGAGCGAACAGAUAAGGAGCUUGCUCCUUUGACGUUAGCGGCGGACGGGUGAGUAACACGCGGGUAACCUACCUAUAAGACUGGGAUAACUUCGGGAAACCGGAGCUAAUACCGGAUAACAUUUGGAACCGCAUGGUUCUAAAGUGAAAGAUGGUUUUGCUAUCACUUAUAGAUGGACCCGCGCCGUAUUAGCUAGUUGGUAAGGUAACGGCUUACCAAGGCGACGAUACGUAGCCGACCUGAGAGGGUGAUCGGCCACACUGGAACUGAGACACGGUCCAGACUCCUACGGGAGGCAGCAGUAGGGAAUCUUCCGCAAUAGGCGAAAGCCUGACGGAGCAACGCCGCGUGAGUGAUGAAGGGUUUCGGCUCGUAAAACUCUGUUAUUAGGGAAGAACAAAUGUGUAAGUAACUGUGCACGUCUUGACGGUACCUAAUCAGAAAGCCACGGCUAACUACGUG
rnacentral:rRNA from 1 species